GGUGGGUAGGGCAGCACUCACUGCCUGUGAUCAUCAGUGUCCUUGUUCUGCUCCCUCCUCUCACCCACCCCACCCCUGCCAAGGCCUCCCUAGCCCUUCAACUGUGAGGCUUUGGGAGGUCUCAGGCUCAGCAUAUCUCUUUCAAAGAAGACUUCCUGACAGAAGACCAUCUGUUCCUCUUUACCAUGAAGUCAUAGUACUAUAUUUGUGACAGCACAAUCAUUUCCAUGGCAACAGGAUGUGGUCCUCAUCACUGAAUCCUGAUUUCACUCUGACAAAGAUCAAGCAGCAGGGGAUUGGCGUUGCGUCCAUGUAGACCUGAGACCCCCUGGCUAUGUGUCUCAGGAUGUGUCCUUCAGUUCUGCCUCCUGAGCCUCAAGACAGUCUCACUCUGUUGCCCAGGCUGGAGUGCAGUGGCGCAAUCUCGGCUCACUACAACCUCCACCUCCCGGAUUCAAGUAAUUCUUCUGCUUCAGCCUCCCAAGUAGCUGGGAUUACAGGCGUGAGCCACUGCUCCCGGCCCUACACUUAUCUUUAAUGUGCUUCCUUUUCAAUGUCUAAUGUUACUUUCAGACUCCUAUAAUAUAGAAGUUCAGGCAUUCUUUAAAAACAAUGCUAACCACCACCAAAACAACAAUAACCAUAAUAAACUCAACUUUGCUUUUUGGUUGGCAGAAAAUGUUGAAAAAUGUAUGAAAUUAAAGCCAACCGUAAGUAGUCUACCUCAGAAAUAGCUGCUAUUAACAUUUUAUUAUAUGUAUGACCAUUUUCUAUGUAAUUCUAUUUCAUAGUUGCACUUUACAUCUAUAGUUUUGUAUCUUUCAGGCAUAAUUUAGUAUACUUUUAGCCAUGGUUUUCCAUCACUUUUCUGGUAGAUGAGCUGUAUGUAUUCCUUUUCCUGCUGGGAAAUAGAAUGUGAACAAGUAAACUAUGCAAAAUCUCAUUCUGAAGGACUUUACAGUUGACUGGGACACUUACGUGGAUUAUCUGAUUGCAUGCCUGUACUCGAUCUCAAGUGGAAUGGUUCCAAAGACCUCUACCACGGCAUUUGUCACUCUAUAAUAUAACUUCCCUUUUACUUAACUGUCUUUUAAACUUAAGCUCUGAGAGCAGGACUGUUUGUUCACCAUUUUCACCCUAAUGACUAGCAUAUGACCUGAUACAAUGAAAAUUCUAUUUAUGAAAAGACUGAAAGACUGAAUAAAUUACUAAAUACUAAAA